GCCUCUGUAGCUCAGUUGGUUGGAGCUCUGCACCAGAAUUGCAGGGCUACAGGUUCAAUUCCUGGCAAAGACC